rnacentral:lncRNA from 1 species
UUAAACAAUAAACUUGUAAUAAAUUUCUAACAAUGUCAAAUAGAGGCCUAAUAAACUUAAUUUGAAAGAAUAGUAGAUGAAGUGACAUUAAUUUCAAACAAUAAUCAUCCGAUAAAUCUCUAAUAAACUCAAGUAGAGCCCUAGUAAAUUGCAUUUCAAACAAUAGUAGAUGUAGUGACAUUAGUUUCAAAUUUCAGAUAAAUUUUUAAUAAUUUGAAAUUGAGACCUAAAAAAUAUCUAAUAACUUAGAAUUGAGGCCUAACAAAUCUCUAAUAACAUCAAAUAGAGGCCU